rnacentral:rRNA from 1 species
GACGAACGCUGGCGGCGUGCUUAACACAUGCAAGUCGAACGGAAAGGCCCUGCUUUUGUGGGGUGCUCGAGUGGCGAACGGGUGAGUAACACGUGAGUAACCUGCCCUUGACUUUGGGAUAACUUCAGGAAACUGGGGCUAAUACCGGAUAGGAGCUCCUGCUGCAUGGUGGGGGUUGGAAAGUUUCGGCGGUUGGGGAUGGACUCGCGGCUUAUCAGCUUGUUGGUGGGGUAGUGGCUUACCAAGGCUUUGACGGGUAGCCGGCCUGAGAGGGUGACCGGCCACAAUGGUACUGAGAUACGGCCCAGACUCCUACGGGAGGCAGCAGUGGGGAGUAUUGCACAAUGGGCGGAAGCCUGAUGCAGCAACGCCGCGUGCGGGAUGACGGCCUUCGGGUUGUAAACCGCUUUCGCCUGUGACGAAGCGUGAGUGACGGUAAUGGGUAAAGAAGCACCGGCUAACUACGUG